rnacentral:rRNA from 1 species
CUCAAAUGAAUUGACGGGGGAGCACCACAACGGGUGGAGCUUGCGGUUUAAUUGGAUUCAACGCCGGAAAUCUUACCGGGACCGACAGCAAUAUGAAGGCCAGGCUGAAGACUUUGCCGGAUUAGCUGAGAGGUGGUGCAUGGCCGUCGUCAGUUCGUACUGUGAAGCAUCCUGUUAAGUCAGGCAACGAGCGAGACCCACGCCCACAGUUGCCAGCGUACUCUCUGGAGUGACGGGUACACUGGUGGGGACCGCCGCUGCUAAAGCGGAGGAAGGAAUGGGCAACGGUAGGUCAGUAUGCCCCGAAUAUCCCGGGCUACACGCGAGCUACAAUGGUUGGUACAAGUGGGUAUCUACCCGAAGGGACGGGAAUCUCCUAAAACCAAUCUUAGUUCGGAUUGAGGGCUGCAACUCGCCCUCAUGAAGCUGGAAUCGCUAGUAAUCGCGGAUCAGCAUGCCGCGGUGAAUACGUUCCCGGGCCUU